AAGACGAGAAGACCCUAUCGAGUUUAAUUAUAGUUUUUAUAGUUAAAAAUUUAAAAUUUUAUUGGGGCAAUAUAAAUCAAAAUAGCGGUUUAUAAAAAAUAAGAUCCUUUUUGAAAGAAUAAGCAAAAAUUACCGUAGGGAUAACAGCGUUAUCCUUUUUAAGAGAUCUUAUUGAGAGAAGGGUUUGCGACCUCGAUGUUG
rnacentral:rRNA from 1 species